CUCUUUCUCUCUCUCUCUCUCUAAGAUCUGAGGUUUGGAGAGAAAUUCUGCUACUAAAAAAAAGAGAUGGACAGUACUACUUUUUUUAUUUUCUAAAUAUAGCUAUAGAGGUUUAUGAAUAAGGAAACAACUCAUUCAAAUAAUUUGAGAGAAAUAAGAUCUUAAUUUUGUGUUUUCCUUCAUUUAUUAUUCAUCUUCUCUUAUCUCAUAGCUUAAAUUCCUGUGUGCAUGGUAAAGAUUGCUGAUUUCGACGUACAUGCAUAUUACUUAUUUUAUGAGGAGAUGAUAUGUUACCUAAGGAAUAUUAUACAUAAGUACACAUUUGUCUACAAUGAAAGAUAAGAGUAUGAUGUGAUAUCUUUAUGAGCUGUCGGUGCCUAAGCAAGGUGAGGCGCAAAAAUACAAAAAAUUUAUAAAAAAAUAAAAUAUAUUUAUUUUAAAAAUGUUAUUCAUUUCAUUUCUUUAUUUUUCUUUAUUGCAUCACUAUCAUUGUGAGUUAGACUAUAUAUAUGAGUAAAAGUUAUCAUUGUAAUACAUUAUAUUAAUUUUAUUUU
rnacentral:misc_RNA from 1 species